GAUGAACGCUGGCGGCGUGCCUAAUACAUGCAAGUCGAGCGAACAGAUAAGGAGCUUGCUCCUUUGACGUUAGCGGCGGACGGGUGAGUAACACGUGGAUAACCUACCUAUAAGACUGGGAUAACUUCGGGAAACCGGAGCUAAUACCGGAUAACAUAUUGAACCGCAUGGUUCAAUAGUGAAAGGCGGCUUUGCUGUCACUUAUAGAUGGAUCCGCGCCGUAUUAGCUAGUUGGUAAGGUAACGGCUUACCAAGGCAACGAUACGUAGCCGACCUGAGAGGGUGAUCGGCCACACUGGAACUGAGACACGGUCCAGACUCCGACGGGAGGCAGCAGUAGGGAAUCUUCCGCAAUGGGCGAAAGCCUGACGGAGCAACGCCGCGUGAGUGAUGAAGGUCUUCGGAUCGUAAAACUCUGUUAUCAGGGAAGAACAAAUGUGUAAGUAACUGUGCACAUCUUGACGGUACCUGAUCAGAAAGCCACGGCUAACUACGUG
rnacentral:rRNA from 1 species